CCUCGUCCAGCGGAAAAGCAGAGAUGCUUUUGAGUUUCAAGAACCAAUUCUUUGGCAUUACAAGAGCCUGGGCUUUGAGUUUCAAAAGUAGAAGUCCUAGAGGCUUCUAGGAAUAAAACUGUGUGUCAUUAACAAGACACCUGGAAGACUGAGCGAGAUGCAAGAGUCAUUUCCCCAUGACCGAGAAGAGGUCAAGGGCCCUGGGCCAGGGGUCUGGGCAGACAAUCUAAGGAGAGCGGAUGAGUCACGAUGAAGUGGCGCUAGGGAGGAUCAGGAAGAGUGAGGUCCCUGUAUGAACUCUAUUCCUGGCUCUGACCACAGCAAGGGACAUCUCUUUGAGCCUUGACGUCCUCAUCUGUGACAUGGGCUUCUCCGACUAGAUGACCCCACUGUCCAUAGGAAAGAAGGAAGCCCCGCUAGCUAGCCUGCUGUGUGUUCCCGUGCUGCCCCAUUUGGGAAAUGAUUCACUGGCCCCAGUACACUCUGCUGUUUUUGCUGGUUGGGAGAGUCUUCUGGUCUUGUUUUUUCCGGAAGAUUCUGGAAAAGCCUCCAGUUCUGCACCUGCGGUGGUUCCAGAGCAAGGUGCUCCUCCAGCCGAGACAAGUCCAUUCAGAAGCUCAGGGUGCAGCAGCAAAGGAGGCAGCUGCAUCUGUCGUGCUGAGAACAGGAGGAACCCAGGGAGCCACUCCUUGUUAGAGCUUCGCCCCAGCCCCUUGGCCUCAACCUGGAGGUGAUUCCCACCCCCAGAGGCAGCCAUCCUCCCGCGGACUCCAGGGGCUCACUGGGACAGCACUGAUGAUGACAAUACGGAUAACAAGCGCUGCCACUGAUAGUCACUGAUACAUCACAACCAGCCCGUGCAAGACCCUGUGCUGAGUGCUUACGUCCACCUUCCCAUCGCAUCCUCCCAACAGCCCCACGGGGGGUUACUGUCACCCCAGCCCAGAGAGGCUAGGUGCAUGCCCCAGGUCACACUGCUGGUAAAAGGGACGCAGGGCAGCUGCGGAGCUCCGGGUCCUAAUCACCCCAUCCCACUCAGUGGAGGGGGCGCAUUUUGCUCAGAAUUUCACCUGAAGCUGGACUUGAAGCAGUAAUUUGGAGGGAUGUGGCUCAGUGAUUGCAUGCACCCGUCUGGAGCAGGGAAGGUGGACUUUUCUGUCCCUAGAUGUCCUUGGGACCUAUCGGGAUGGCCCUGGACCCCUCGCCACUGCUUGGAAGCAGUUCAUAGGAGCAAGACCCGUUGGCAGAUAUCAAGAAAGAAACGAAAAACAUUUUUUCCUUUUUUGAAAAGUGGAGUUCCUCUCUCGGGUCAUACCGGUGUGACAUUUAUCACAAAUGUCCCUCAAAUCUUUGUUGACGUCUGUUCCCCUGUGCCAUCAACUCCCUGAGGGCAGGAGCCGGGGUCACUUUGGCUCAACGAUGAAUGCCCAGUGUCCAUCACGGUACCUGGCAUGUGGGAGGCAUUUGAUGAACAUUUGUAGACCAGCGCCUCAGCAGUGAGAAUGAGGCUGCCAGGUGAAAGCGUCAAGCACCGUGUGGGGGUUUUUCUUGGGUGGGGUACUAAGGCGUUCGCCUGCAGCGCUGGGUCGUGGCUGCUGCUCGGGAGGUGAAGAUCCCAGGCUCCCUCUGAGUCACACGGUUUCAGGCCUGGGGUAUCUGUGUCUGGGCGCUAUGCUGUGAGGGCUGGGGGUCACCAUCCUGGGCCACGACUUCGUGCAGACACCUGCUCAGCCAGGCCAGAGGCCCCAGCAGCCAACCAGCUGCUGUUUCUCAACCUGCUCCCUGCCCAGACCAAAGCAGAGACAAGAGAGGGGACAGGUGCCCUUGGGAGAUGCAGUUGAGAGCAGGGAUGUGCUUAGCCAGGGCUGCACCCUGGCAGGCAGACUUGCUUUGAGAUACUGCAUUUUAUCUUGAACAAAUUCAUGCCACCUUUGCAUUCCAGCCAAUAAAACUCUUGCCUUUGUGGGGCAC